rnacentral:rRNA from 1 species
GGAGUUAGCCGGUGCUUCUUCUGCGAGUAACGUCACAGAUGUAAGGUAUUAACUUACACCCUUUCCUCCUCGCUGAAAGUGCUUUACAACCCGAAGGCCUUCUUCACACACGCGGCAUGGCUGCAUCAGGGUUUCCCCCAUUGUGCAAUAUUCCCCACUGCUGCCUCCCGUAGGAGUCUGGGCCGUGUCUCAGUCCCAGUGUGGCUGAUCAUCCUCUCAGACCAGCUAGGGAUCGUCGCCUAGGUGAGCCUUUACCUCACCUACUAGCUAAUCCCACCUGGGCUUAUCCAUCAGCGCAAGGCCCGAAGGUCCCCUGCUUUCCCCCGUAGGGCGUAUGCGGUAUUAGCAGUCGUUUCCAACUGUUAUCCCCCACAAAUGGGCAAAUUCCCAGGCAUUACUCACCCGUCCGCCGCUCGUCAUCUUCAAAAGCAAGCUUUUGAAAUGUUACCGCUCGACUUGCAUGUGUUAGGCCUGCCGCCAGCGUUCAAUCUGAGCCAGUGAUACAAACUCUGA